rnacentral:sRNA from 1 species
GCUACGUAAAAGUCAUUUGCAGCAACUAUUCAGUUUCUGGAAUUAGGUUAUACUUGUGUUCGUGGUUGUUUUCCUGAGGAAAUAAUCUAAUAAUCAGAAAGGCUAAUAUUUGUUUGUGUUUGUAAGAGCCAGGCACUGUGGUAUUUUUUGAUUUAAUGAGAGAAAUUCGAGCGAGAAAGAUGGAAGACAGCAAAGAAAAGAAUGGAAAAAAGAAGAGGAAAAGUUUAGCCAAGAGAAUCAGAGAAAGAUGCUGCAUUUUAUAAUUAAAGCCCAAACUCCUUUCUUAUCUUGACCAUACUAAUAAAUAUAAUUUAUAAGCA